AGAGUUUGAUCAUGGCUCAGAGCGAACGCUGGCGGCAGGCCUAACACAUGCAAGUCGAACGGGCCCUUCGGGGUCAGUGGCAGACGGGUGAGUAACGCGUGGGAACGUGCCCAUCGGUUCGGAAUAACCCAGGGAAACUUGGGCUAAUACCGGAUACGUCCUUUUUGGAGAAAGAUUUAUCGCCGAUGGAUCGGCCCGCGUCUGAUUAGCUAGUUGGUGGGGUAAUGGCCCACCAAGGCGACGAUCAGUAGCUGGUCUGAGAGGAUGAUCAGCCACACUGGGACUGAGACACGGCCCAGACUCCUACGGGAGGCAGCAGGGGGGAAUAUUGGACAAUGGGCGCAAGCCUGAUCCAGCCAUGCCGCGUGAGUGAUGAAGGCCCUAGGGUUGUAAAGCUCUUUCACCCACGACGAUAAUGACGGUAGUGGGAGAAGAAGCCCCGGCUAACUUCGUGCCAGCAGCCGCGGUAAUACGAAGGGGGCUAGCGUUGCUCGGAAUCACUGGGCGUAAAGGGCGCGUAGGCGGACCUUUAAGUCAGGGGUGAAAGCCUGUGGCUCAACCACAGAAUUGCCUUUGAUACUGAGGGUCUCGAGACCGGAAGAGGUUGGUGGAACUGCGAGUGUAGAGGUGAAAUUCGUAGAUAUUCGCAAGAACACCAGUGGCGAAGGCGGCCAACUGGUCCGGUUCUGACGCUGAGGCGCGAAAGCGUGGGGAGCAAACAGGAUUAGAUACCCUAGUAGUCC
rnacentral:rRNA from 1 species